rnacentral:rRNA from 1 species
AUGAUUCCAAUUCUAAUAAGUAUUUUUCUUAUCCCAAGUAGACUGAUUUUACUUGAUUUUAUUCUUAUCCCAAUUACUGCUACUCUUUGCUUAUUCCCUUACAGAAAUCUUUUUCCAGUACUAUUAGUCCCAAUAUUUUGUAUGCACUUCCACAAGUCUAAUAUUCAUUUCAUUUACAUUACAGAGUUGUAUUGCCUAGUUUGGUACCUCUUGUUGGCAUGUAAUUUAGAAAUUCAGAUGAGGCUUGGGCAUUUUGGCUUACCUACAGUGGACAGAAAGGAUCUGAGGUCAGAAAAAGGUAUACAAACAAGAGGCCAACCGAUGGCAAAGUUACAUCAUGUAGAUUUGUUUGUGCAUGUAGUGGUGCUGGACAAGUUGCAGAUGUUAUAG